UCCCUAGUGUCUCAGAUAGUAACAAUCUGCCUAUAAUGCAGGAGACCCAGGUUCAAUCCCUGGCUUGGGAA
rnacentral:tRNA from 1 species